CCGCAAGGUUAAAACUCAAAUGAAUUGACGGGGGCCCGCACAAGCGGUGGAGCAUGUGGUUUAAUUCGAUGCAACGCGAAGAACCUUACCUGGUCUUGACAUCCACAGAACUUUCCAGAGAUGGAUUGGUGCCUUCGGGAACUGUGAGACAGGUGCUGCAUGGCUGUCGUCAGCUCGUGUUGUGAAAUGUUGGGUUAAGUCCCGCAACGAGCGCAACCCUUAUCCUUUGUUGCCAGCGGUCCGGCCGGG
rnacentral:rRNA from 1 species